CGGAAAUAAGAGUGUGAACUAGUUUUGUAAUUAACUGGGCUCAGCCGAGAUUUUUAAAGACUGGAAAUCAAGCCACUUAGGGCUGCCCCGGCCAACUGGUUCCUCCAGUUGCAGAGCAGACACCGUUUGGCUUGGGGUCAGGGGAGGGGCAUUCUCUCUAGGAAAAGGCGGAGCUUGCAGGAAGGGCUUCCACGAUCCCACUCUCCCACCGUCCCCUGCAAGCUUGUUUGCAGAGAAGCCUUUUCCUCGACAGCUCCCCUGAGUUUCCCGGCCUCCUCCUGAUGCGUGGAGAGGACAUGUUCUUCUUGAUGGCAAUUUUGAGAAAUAACGUGAGAUCUCAUAACGACAGAAGCCACAGGAACAAGAAGAAAAGCACUGCGGGUCAUCGGUGUGGCAGCGAGUCCCCGUGUCCCGCUUCGGCGUCUUGCCCAGCAACAUCCGCUGACGAUGCAGGGCCACUGCCCCGCCCAGCCGGCUCACCACAGCAGAGGCCUGUGACGAGUGACUCACGAGAUCUUUCCGGAAGCCCAUGGCAGGGAACUGCUGCUGUUAGAGAAACGAAGACGAAGAGGCUCCAUGCAGGGACCUGUUGGUGACUCCCAGGCUUCCAGGGGCAGCUCCUGCUGGAGCUGGUCCACGGCACAGCCAUGCGGGUCUGGACCCUUCAUUGGUCAUCAUGGGGCUACUGGUGGCAGUUUGGAUACAGAAAUCUACAAGAAAGAACAAAAUGAAAAUUCUACUACUGAGAAAUAAAAAAAUGAAAACUCAGAAUUCGAUAGUUUAAUAGUCUGUUAAACAAUGCAGAAAAGAAUAUUAAUAUACUCAACAUAGCUUUGAGUUUUAAAAGAUUUAAAACAUUGGGAUUAAAUCACCGAGUAAAAAUGAUGUAAAAUUAAUAAAAAGAAAGUAAG
rnacentral:lncRNA from 1 species